rnacentral:rRNA from 1 species
UACGGAGGGUGCAAGCGUUAUCCGGAUUCACUGGGUUUAAAGGGUGCGUAGGCGGGCAGAUAAGUCAGUGGUGAAAUACCUGAGCUUAACUUGGGAACUGCCAUUGAUACUAUUUGUCUUGAAUGUUGUGGAGGUUGGCGGAAUAUGUCAUGUAGCGGUGAAAUGCCUAGAGAUGACAUAGAACACCUAUUGCGAAGGCAGCUAACUACACAAAUAUUGACGCUGAGGCACGAAAGCGUGGGGAUCAAACAGG